rnacentral:rRNA from 1 species
UACGUAGGGUGCGAGCGUUAAUCGGAAUUACUGGGCGUAAAGCGUGCGCAGGCGGUGCACCAAGCUCGAUGUGAAAGCCCCGGGCUUAACCUGGGAAUUGCAUUGAGGACUGGUGUGCUCGAGUGCGGCAGAGGGGGGUGGAAUUCCACGUGUAGCAGUGAAAUGCGUAGAGAUGUGGAGGAACACCGAUGGCGAAGGCAGCCCCCUGGGCCGACACUGACGCUCAUGCACGAAAGCGUGGGGAGCAAACAGG